AAUUGUUCAUAAUAUUGUGUAAAUAACAACAAGGUGGGAAUAAUCUUUCCACGUGACGAUGGAUGGAAGCAUCAGAGUCAGCGUCUCUCCCCUGGACUUCUUCUCACUUUCUGAGAAGUGGGAUGGCCGACUCUCCGUCCUGCGCUGCUCUCCCUCCCGUUUGGUCCCGAUGGCAUCGAGUCGCUCUGUGACCUCCAGCUCCUCGUCCCCGUCCGCUCAGAGACGCCGGCGCUCUGAGAGGCAGAGAAACAAAUAGCAUAAUUCAGGAGAGAGACGCCCGACUCCGAGCUGCUCUCUCGUCCUCCUUCGGUGAUUUGGAUGAAUCUGAAGUCCAGCCACACAAAGAGGAGCGAGAGACGGAGGGAAACACAAACACUGACUCUCUCUCUCUGUUUCCCUUCGAGGCUCCUCAUGAUAAAUGAAAGAAGAGGUAUUGCUUAUUCUCUCUCUCUCUCUUUCCAACUGAAGUGUGCGGCUUUAUUCAGGUCAACAUAAAAGAAUAAAUUGAAACAUGAUGCUGUGGGCUUUGCCGUGCAUGCAGCCUGCUGAAUUAAGUCCUGAUGUAACAGUAAUCCCAUCGAGCACAAUGUUUGCAAGGCUUUCAAACUGCGAGUGAAGUGCAUGUAUACGCAGCCUCCGUGUUCCACUCGUCAAACAUUCAUUUUCAUUUAUCACGACGCAACAGGGCCGAUUUGAUGGGUUCAAAGGGAUUGAAAAUGUUUGGAUCAUGUAUCGAUUUAUUGGUCCGUUGUCAGUCUGUGACAUUUAAAAGCACUGCAUGGCCUCCAUGUGAUGCUUAAUCUUAAUACGUUUAAUAGUCUGUGAUCGCUCAUGUCAUCGUUUCUUCAACUUUUCCACCUGAGCAAGUAAUUAAUAACAUGCAAUAAAAACCGUAAAGAUUCAGUCGUCAGCAGGCAGGAGGACAGGGAGGAGUUGCCGUGGCGACCUUUGUUCAAACCUGGACGUCUUGUUUAAGCGAGUGAUGCGUUCGCUUCAACGCUGCAUCCACACACUCAACAACUGUCUGGGACUAGCAAGCUACAGCUAACCAGCUAGCAGUCCGCUAAUUGCUAUGAUGCUACUGGACCCCCCCCCCACAGGGCUACUGAUCGGGGCCAUUUCUCUGAGUUCGACGUAGAAUCACUUGACUUUUUCCUCGUGUAGUCACCUUGUUUUCCACGGCUUUCUGUUUCUGACAUUUUCUUGGUCCCGUCUUGGUGAUUUAUUAUGUUUCCGGCUCAAGACAAAAGACACCCAGAGACCAAGAGACCAAAAGGAUCGAUACCAAACUAAAUGACUGAGGACGGACGCUGUUGUGCGCUGGCAGAUGCACUCGUGCUUUCCUCUGCUGGAGUCACGCCUCAUCAGAUGCUCUCGUCCUGACCUUAUCCUGCGCGCUCAUCUGACAUUUCCCGCUCAAAGGCCACAGAUGGAUGAUGCGUCCGUUGGCUGCCUGCAGGAGGAGGAUCUGCUUUGGCAGCCAGAUGAUUUCAGGUGCUGAAUAUCGCUGUGAUAUCACACAGCUAUGUGAGGUAAGACAAGCCAGGUGGUCCAUGGGGGGGGAUACAGAGUCCGUUGCAUUUAUUAAAUUCAGGCAUUUGAUAAAAACAGGAUGUCAAAUAGUGUGACAGGUGAAUGUCUGUUUAAAACGAUUAUAACCUUAUCUUCUCUAACAGAGUAUUGCAGUGAAACAUUGGUGUUUGAGACUAAAUCGAUUGGUUGAAGCAACGCCUGCGAUGAGAAAGAGACGAUCACCACACAUGCAAACAAGGAAAAAACUCUGAAGUCUGCAGAGAUUUCACUCAGUUCCUUCAGCUUUAAUAUUCUUUCUAUAAUAAGCAGCUGCACCUUAAAAAACAACCGACCAAAAGCAGCCGGACGGAGCUCUGCAGAGCAACGAUGAACAACAGCAGAAGAGAGGGGGAGUGAUGGGGGAGGCACGAAGCGGAGCGGGACGUACUGCACAGAGCCGCACAAACCAAAGGCCAGUGGUGCUGGAUCAGCUUCCUCAUCCAGGAGAAUCAGAAGCUUUAGAGGAUCAAUUAUUGUCACAUUCAGAGUGAGACGCGGAGAAACAUGAAAAACCGCAGAAAUCAAAGCGCUUCAGCGGCCGCUAACAAAGCUACGCUAAUUUGAUGAAUCAUUUGAAGAAAUGAAAUAAAUUGUUCAAACAACCCCUUUUAUUUGGUUUGUCAAAGACGUUUCAUUUCGAAGUGAGGAAACGUUUCCUCACUGAACGCGCUGCCGACCUUCUCCUCCACCAGUCAAAUGCAGAGUUUAGAAUCUGCUUCAUUUCUUUUAGACAACAUUUGAACUUAUUUAAAUUAGUUGUGAGGAAGUUUCCACACACACACACACACACACACACACACACACACACACACACACACACACACACACACUGCCUGCUGUGCGCAUUUUGACUUUGUAAGACUCUGUUCAACAAACGUGUCGUUCAUUUGUGGCACAAUAAUUCACCUGUGUGUAACAGUUGUGUGUUAUCGACGUGUUUGUGUAGGUGCUGUAACGAGAUGUUGUUAUCGAGGAUCAGUUCAUGUCUCGUGAACCGUGCAGAUGAAAAUAAAAUAAAUAGUCAACGUCAACAACAACAAUUCUGAUGCUGCCGACAAAAAGGCUUUUUUUUUACAAUUGCAAUUUACAGGCAUUUAUUUAUUUAUUUAUUUAUAAGCCUCUGAACGAGUCGUGCUGAAGAACGUUCGUCAACUUAAACACAGGAAAAUCCAAAAUAAUAAUAGACUGUGGCUGAAAACUGUAAAGUAAGUAAGUUUUUUUAAAGGAAAUGAAAAAAGUCAUUUUAACAUUCAACGUUUCUUUUCCCUUUACACUUUUUUUUUCUCCCCCAAACAAGUGUAAAUAGAAAUAAAGGGUCAUGAGGUCAUUUAUGGACAUGAUGACUGAACCGUUCAUUAUUCUGUGUCUUGCAGUAGAACCACAUGGUAAUGAUGUCACUCACAGUGAUUGAGGCACAUUCGAUCGUUAUCAGUGCAGUGGUCAUGAAAAUUAAGGAAAUGCAUAUUUAUCAUAUUAAUAGUGAAACUAUUUCACGGAAAAUGUUUUCAGCGGUUCUUCUUCCUUCAGGUGUCGGGAACAUCUUUAGUCAAUUCAUUUAUACAAAAGCUGUGUUUUCUGUUGCUAUCACCAUAUGAAGCAGGAUGUGUGUGUGUCUGUGCGUGUGCGUGUGCGUGUGCGUGAGGACUUACUGACUGCUGAUCAGACCCACGUCAGCUGACACCUCCUCUCCUCCAGGAUCAGAAGCUCGUGUACUUACAAGACCACAUGGAUUAUCUGCGCUCUGAUUAAAUCUCAGAGGUCGACUCUGGAGAAAAGGUGCGUUCCUCCCGGCACACACUCCUUUGUAGUCAGCUCGAUGCAUUUUGAUCGGGGGGGGGUUCGGGGGGUGGGGGGGCUGUUCUGUUGAUGCGUGCCGUGUCUUUUGAGGGCCUGCGUUCCGUCGAUAAACCGAUGAGCGUAACGUUGGUGUCCUUGUGUUCCCAGAAGCUUCCUCUCCGGGCUGCAGGGAGCUGAGCUCAUUGCUGUGGGAUGUGAACAUUAGCUGAUCAGAGACCAGCUUGUAACAGCAAACGUGGGCCUUUACAAUCCUCUGGGAGGCCGCUAAUAAAGACGGAGCGCGCUGCGGAAAGCAAACGGCCGACGUGUGAACUCGCUCCCUCUCGAAAAGGAGCCGUGGCGCUUUUGAUGAGGCGACACGAGCUGCCUCGUUCUACCUGUGGGACGUUCCAUCACCUCCCCCCCCCCAGAUCCAGCGGUUCCCAGCUGCUGUGGGGCGCGUCUGGAGACACGUCAUUUAUCUACAGUGGGCGUGGCCUCGUGCUUCCAGGUGGACCGUCUGUAUGCGCACGUGCUUCGGCGCCGCCCCCCCCCCCCCCCCUCAACCAGCCUCUUUGGGGACGUCUAAGAGCUGCACCUCAUGUCUUUUUCUGGAAAUCCAUUAGAGGACACGGCUCCUCGCAGCCUCUGGAAAGGCCUCCCAGGGUUCCUUUGACCCUCGACGGAGCGACGUGAGCAACUGGUUAGAAGCUGGGAGGAAGUCCGCGCGCUUCCUAUCCCUCUGUGGAUCAUCUGCCGCUUCCCCAUCUUGGUGCCUUUGCUUCUACCUCAUCGAUGUAUUUGUAAUCUCAAAUGACCGCUUACAUCUCUUGUUACGCUUGAACAGAAUCACACGACACAGUGGAGAUCAGGUGCAUCACGUAGAAACAUGUGUGCAUUUACACCAAAGCAGUGAUCUGAUUUCAAAUGUAAAAAGUCAAUCACGCGCCUUUUUCUCUGACUUUUUUCAGGUGGAAUUAAAGCCCAAUCUGUUUGGAUGAAGAUUAUUCAUGCGCAGUCUCUAUGCCUUCAUAUCUGGUUUUCUCUUCUCUGAUUAAUUCGUCCCACGAGGAAGAGGAGGGUGCAGCUGGAGAAACACAUGCUGUCAGCAGCAUGAGCGAAGAGCAUUACUUUCAUUAGGCCCCAUUAUAUCACCACAGACGCCUUGUUAAAAUGUCAUUUGCUAAUUCCUCCCGACGCGCGUCUCCACCCGGCCGGCCCGGCAGGAUUAACGCGUCGCUCAUCGAGAUGUGAGACAAAACAAGCUCAUCGUUUAUUAGCAAAAGCAAACAGAGGGCGAGAAAAGGGGGGUGGG
ensembl:lncRNA